rnacentral:rRNA from 1 species
CCCUUAGAUGUCCUGGGCUGCACGCGCGCUACACUGGAAGUUACGGAUUGAGAUACUACCUUGUCCGAAAUGGUCCGGGUAAUCACCUAAAGCUUGUCAUAAUUGGAAUGGAUUAUUGUAACUAGUAAUCCUGAACGAGGAAUUCCUAGUAAGUCCCAGUCAACAGCUGGUACUGAUUACGUCCCUGCCCUUUGUACACACCGCCCGUCGCUACUACUGAUUGGACGUUUAAGCAAGAUUUUUAAACACUGACAGUGUGUAGUUCACGCUAUACUACAGUGAGAAGAAGAAGAUCGAGCUUACUUGUCUAGAGGAAGUAAAAGUCGUAACA